rnacentral:rRNA from 1 species
AUUGAACGCUGGCGGCAUGCUUUACACAUGCAAGUCGAACGGUAACAGGGAGCUUGCUCCGCUGACGAGUGGCGAACGGGUGAGUAAUGCGUCGGAACGUGCCGAGUAGUGGGGGAUAACGCAGCGAAAGUUGUGCUAAUACCGCAUACGUACUGAGGUAGAAAGUGGGGGGCCUUCGGGCCUCACGCUAUUCGAGCGGCCGACGUCUGAUUAGCUAGUAGGGGAGGUAAAGGCGCACCUAGGCGACGAUCAGCAGCGGGUCUGACAGGAUGAUCCGCCACACGGGGCCUGAGACACGGGCCGGGCUCCUACGGGAGGCAGCAGUGGGGAAUCUUGGACAAUGGGCGCAAGCCUGAUCCAGCAAUGCCGCGUGCAGGAAGAAGGCCUUCGGGUUGUAAACUGCUUUGGUCAGGGAAGAAAUCCUCUAGGUGAAUACCCUUGGGGGGAUGACGGUACCUGAAGAAUAAGCACCGGCUAACUACGUGCCAGCCGCCGCGGUAAAAC